rnacentral:misc_RNA from 1 species
AAUUAUCAGUUCCUUACUUGCAUGUGUAUUAGCUGGUCUGGGAUUGGAUUUAUGGAGGUUUGCUGGUUCUUAGAAUUAGCUCUUCUGAAACAUAUUAGCAAAAACCAUUUUCUGACUCAUUAUUUUGGUGUGAUACCCACUUUACGCCAUUUGAAAAGAGCAGUAUCAAUGUUUAGCUUCUAAUAGUCUUGGAACAAAGACAGCUUUUGACAU